UAACUGCUGUUCUAACUUGCAUGAGGGUAAAUCAGAAGCAGCUCUCUGUUGUAAAUGAACUCACACCCGGAAUAUUCCAUUUUUAGAAGCAGAUCAAGAAAGGCACAGGCAGAACCUGGAGAAAAAGAAAGGGAUCAUAAAGUAGGACAGUGAUGGAGGCAGACACACACAGAUACCGUGUCCCCAAAUAGUUCAGCAUCAAAUAACAAAAACAGCAAUGAUUUCAUUGUUUUAAGAGCUUAUUUAACUGUAGAGUUACACAUUAGGAAGGAAACACAUCUAAGAAUGAAAGAUGUCAAUCUGCCAAUUAGUCUGCCUAAGGUCUUUCAUUGGUUUGUGCCCAAAUCUGUUAUUCUGUGACCUGAAAUUUAAUCCUUGGAGAAUUAAUUGCCUUAAUUUUAAUCUUCUGAAAAUUAAUAUAUAAUCAACUCUUCAUUAUCAGGGAAAACAAGCACCUGGAAAAAAAUGAAAGAUGGAAAACCUAGAUAAUGUGAGUACCUCAGGGCCAGGACUGCUCACUUAAACUGCAAUGAGCAGCACCAGUGUAGGUACAACUGCCUGUCUAACAUGGUUUAUUCCUGAAGUGGGUAAGGGACCCAGACUCAACAGAGAAUAAACUCUGGUUUUUACUGUUACCACUCUGCACAGGUACUUCAAUUCAUAUUUAUAAAGUAUGAUCUAGAUAGUGUUGUGACAGUUCUGCAGCAGCAAUAGUCAUUAAAAUACAAACAUGAUUUCAUGUAGAAUGAGAUGUCAUCUCUGAAAUAGGACUGAAGUAACACAAGUAUCCAGUUGCAGGAAUAAAAGACUUCAUCUAGGAAGAAUGGCUACAUCGUACUCCUUAACACACUGUGGAGAGAGGUAGAAAAGCACUCUCUCACCCGACUUCCAAAACUAAUGAAGAAAAAUUCAGGUUAUAAAAUAUGAGAAACAGUUCACUCCAGUCAGUUUAUGGUUAUCAAUGUAUCAGGUUUUCUCAGGUUACCCUAAACCCUGUUUCUGGAGCUUGCUGUACAUGUUUUCUUCUUUAUUCGGAUCAUUGUUUGGAUAGAGAAGCUGAAGACUGAAGCAGAAUUUUUCAGUGCCUGGUUAUGUGAAAUUCACCUUCUGGUGUUUUUCUUUUCACUGGAUGUGAAUGGCAACAGGUGGCCACAACUGGUACUGUGAGAAGCUGUGUAUUCCCUCAGCACCUCAAGCCAGUGACAACAUAAUCCUCAAUUCACAUAUUAUAAGUUUAGAAAAUAUUGGAAUGUGCAACUGAUCAUACCUAGGAAGUAUACACACUGUUUGAUCCCAAAAUACUAGCUUAUGUCAUUAAUGGUUUGUAUCAUGCUCUUUUCUAGCUGCAGAAAUGGCAAAUGUUUACCAUUUUAACUGUAUUAAAGAACAGCAGAAUGUAAUUAAAGAAAACAUAAUGGCAACAGUAAAUAUGAAUGUUAAACUACUCUGAGGAAAAAGAGGGCUUUUAAAAAAAUCCUUGAUGUUACUCUCAUCUCUUCAGAUAACUGAAAUAUGCAUGUUAAUAACCUGACUUAUCUUUCUGUGCCUUCACUAUUACACAUUUCCAUUCAUAUCAUGGUGUAACUGGUCUGCUUCCAGUCAUCCUCACUUCUGGUCCUCAUCCUUCAUGGCCCCAUAAGCACAACAGAAUUAACAAUAACUGCUUAUUUAUUUGUUUACCCCACUCCUUUCUAAUGUAUGCAUGGGGAGUUUUUCCUUUCAUUGCCAAAGCGGUAGGUAAUGACAAUCACAUUUUCACUAUUAAUAAAAAUAUUCAUAAUUAAUAUAUUUAGUACAGAUUUUACUUCAGUAAUUUUUAAUUUUAAAGAUACUAUAUUAGAAGUAGUAUCCAGACCUUAAAAAGCUUAGUUUGUCAAGCCUUUAAAUACUAAUUCUUAUGUGUAUGCAAGUUCUAAGGGUAGAAAUUGGAGGUAAAGUCUAAACUUAAUUGUUUCUUUAUCCAUGGUAAAACACUGAUUUUUGCAUGACUGCUGAGUACCAUUUGAUAAUGGUAAAUAUUACUGACACACAAAGACAAACUGGGUAUAAAUUAGAUUACAAAGUAGAGUCUUUUAAUAUUUUAUAUGAAGACAAGUGAUUUAUGGAAGUCUGCUUAAGUAGAAUAGCACCAAAGACUGGACAAUUUAUGCCCCUAUAAAUUAUGUUUGGUUACAGUGAGGGUAUGGUGGUCUGUUCUAUGGCAAACAGAUCCAUUCCUGGGACCUCUCACUUGUGGAAGAUGUUCUGCAGGACUGAGUUUUUGACAGGCCACUUGUGCGAGCCCCGCCUGCUGGCAUGGGCUGCCGAGGUGCCCUGGCUCUGGGAGGCUGUGGAGCUCACGCAGAGCCAAGGCCAGAGCUGCACUGCCAGAGCUGCACUGCCUCCUGACGGAGCGAGGCACGGCUCCUUCCCCUUGUCCGCUGACAAAUUGCACAGCUGUGGUGUUACAUGUCAGCACUUGCAGCGCGGAUCUCCGGAGACAAACCAGGAAUGUUCUGCAUGCCAGACAGUUGCGCUGAGCCAUUACAUUGAGACAACCUUCUUGAGGGAACUGUGGGCCCUGAGUGAACAAGAGUGGGGAAUCCACUGACAUUCUGACCUGCAACCAUGUAACCAUAGGCAGUGUAGAGCAGCGAGGCCAGAUCUACAGAUCAAAGAAGGCUUGCAAAAGCAUGCCAAAUCCAUGGAGCAUUUGCUGUGUAGAUACUACAGUGAUUUCAAACAACUCUCAUGGCAUUUAGAUAAGGUAGGUAGACUAUGUGUUGCUGAAGUCUGAGAUAUGCUUUCAUCAACAUUCAUGGUGAGCCUGAAGUUAUUUGAUGAUGUUUAUCAUCAUCUGGAAUACUUCCAGUGGAAAACAUGAUCUUACUGAUCUGGAAUCUAACUCAGCUCCUGCAAUCUAUAUAUUCGGGGCAACAGUCAACAGAGAAAUGCACAUUGACAUUUAAUGCAGAGAAGCAAAGGACUCUGAAGUCACCUGAAAUGCUCUGCUCACCUGUUGAGGUCAUCGUCUAAAAUUAGCCUUUCAGUUUAGAACCUACAGUUCUUUUUUGUUUCACUGAACUACCACAGCUGCUAACCUUUCACAUGCUUCGUUCCCCUUAGAAAAUCUACAAGGACUUUUAAAGUCUUUUCCCUAUUAGGAAACUGAAGAAUAUGCAAUACAUAGGAUUGUAGCAUAAAUUUUGUAAAUAAUUAUCAUAGGGACUGAAAAAUGAAAUGGCAGUAUUGAAAUAAAUUAUUGAAGGGAAAAAACCCCAAAAUGUUAUUAUAACCAUGGAGGAAAACACAUAACUGUUAUUACUGUGAUGUCAAAUUUGUUUAUUGAAAUGUGCCAUCUCGGAUAGGGAAAUACUAAGAAUAAUAAAUGUUUUGACUUGA